rnacentral:rRNA from 1 species
CCUACGGGAGGCUGCAGUGGGGAAUAUUGGACAAUGGGGGCAACCCUGAUCCAGCCAUGCCGCGUGUGUGAAGAAGGCCCUCGGGUUGUAAAGCACUUUCAGUGAGGAAGAACGCCUGGUGGUUAAUACCCAUCAGGAAAGACAUCACUCACAGAAGAAGCACCGGCUAACUCCGUGCCAGCAGCCGCGGUAAUACGGAGGGUGCGAGCGUUAAUCGGAAUUACUGGGCGUAAAGCGCGCGUAGGUGGCUUGAUAAGCCGGUUGUGAAAGCCCCGGGCUCAACCUGGGAACGGCAUCCGGAACUGUCAAGCUAGAGUGCAGGAGAGGAAGGUAGAAUUCCCGGUGUAGCGGUGAAAUGCGUAGAGAUCGGGAGGAAUACCAGUGGCGAAGGCGGCCUUCUGGCCUGACACUGACACUGAGGUGCGAAAGCGUGGGUAGCAAACAGGAUUAGAUACCCUGGUAGUC